CCCGCCGCCAGGCCCUGCUUUGUGGUUGUUUUGAUCCUGGAGAUAAGCAGCGAGGCUGCUUCGGCAGAGACAGGCGCCCGCGCUGGCCUAGGAAAAGACACAGAUCUGUGCAGAGAGCGGUGGACCAGCGAGGAGGCUGUGCUGCUGACACUCCUCUUCGCCAGGCAUAGUAUACAUAGCAUACGAAAGGCCGGUGCUGUCUGCCACUCAUCCAGAAAGAAAGCAUCGUUGUUUUUUUGCUUGCUUCUCAUCUUUCACCAGCUCUUUUAGGACGUGGAGUCCACGGGGGGGGGGGGGGAGGUUAUCAAAUCAUAGGAAUGUAGAGUUGGAAGGGCCACAAGGGUCAUCUCCUUUCUUGAAGCCAUUGGUUCAAGUCCUACCCUGUGGAGCAGGAGGACACGAGCUUGCUCCAUCUUCCAUGUGACAGCCCUUUAGAUAUUUGAAGAUUACUUUCAUAUCUCCUCUCCAGUCUCUUUUUUUUCCCCCAGCCUAAACAUACCCAACUCAACCUUUCCUCCUAAGACUUUGUUUCUAGACCCUUGGUCCUCCUAGUGGUGCAGCGAUAAAACUACUAGCACAUUUGGAAAGCUAAAUGAGCUGGUAUGCUUUCAAAUGGGAUGGCAGACCCUGUGUUGAGAUUCCUGAAUUACAUGGGGCUGAAGUAGGUGGCCCUUAGGGUCUCAUGCAACUCUACAGUUCUGUGAUCAAUUUGGUAGCCCUCCUCUGCACAUGUUGUGUUCCAACUUGGCAAUAUCCUUCUUGAAUGGUGGUGCCUAGAACUGGACACAGGACUCCAGGUGUGGUCUGACCAAGGCAGAAUAGAGCGGUACUAUUACAUUUGUUGAUCUGGGCACUAUACUUCGCUAGAAUUAGCCUUUUUGCUGCUUCUUCACACAGUUGACUCAUAUUCGGCUUGUGGUCUACGAAGACCCCUUUUCACACAUACUACUGGCAAGCCAGGUGUCUCCCAUCUUAUAUUUGUGCAGCUGGUUAUUUCCGCCUAAGUGCAGAGCCUUACCUUUGUCUUUAUUGAAGUUAAUUUCAUAGAAUUGUAGAGUUGGAAGAGAUUCCUUCAGUGCAGGAAUCACAACUAGAUCACACAUGACAGGCAGUGAUCCAUCUAAUCACUAGGGCAACAUUCUAUACAUAUUUGAAUACUCAUUGGGACUUACUUCCAAAUUAAAAUACAUAGGAUUGCAUUGCACAUUUAGGUCAAUAUAAAUUUGGCUUCUGUUUUGGUUUGCUACUAUCAGAAAUAAAAGAUACAUACUUGUGUUGUACCUAGGAAAAUAUGACAGAAUUCUGCCUUACACGAAGUCAGACCAUUGUUCAAUCUAUCUCAGUAUGGUCUGUCUCCACACUGACUGACAGCAGCUUUCCAACUCUUUUCAGACAGCAGGUCUUUCCCAGAUCUACCUAGAGAUACCAGGGAUUGAACCUAUAUUUAUUAGCAGAACAGGGUCUUUGAGCCAUAUCCAUGAACUGGGUGGCAUGCUUGUAAAUCCCAGUAAUUUAAAAUGUAUGUCAUCUAUUCACAUCAUGUACUUAUUUAUCUUUCAAGAAUACAAUCUAUUUACCAAAUUAUAUUUUCUGUGGCAUAUCAGAUGGGCGUUCAAUGAAUUGAAAUAAUUGAGAUUGCCGUGUGGUUGGUAAUGAAAGGCUUCUCAUUGGAAGAACCAUUCCAAACCCUACAUAUACAGAUAAAAAAUAAUCUGAAGCUCUUCUUACCAUCAAUUAAUCAUAUUAAUAGAGCGGCAAAUUGAUCAUGCAUUUGUUAAAUGUGUAUUCCCUUCGAACUUGACUAUUAUAUGAUUCUAUAAGUUGUUAGAAGACAUACUUUAAAUGGCAGUGAGGCUGAACCCCUGUAUAACACACAGUUCCCUAUCUCCAAUUGUGGUUUUGCCUCAGUGGUAAGCACUUCUUGUCAAACAAGUCAAGGUACCCAAAUUUCAUUAAAGCACCUACCUACUGCCACCAUUGAUAAGACCCUGAUAUGUUCCAGAGCCUAAGAAACAGUUUUUGGAGGGCAGAAGACUUGCAUGAAAAAAGCACUUUCUACUUAGGCAAAGUCAUCAUUGGAGGCAACCCAUUAUUGUUGCUUUAUUUUAAUAAUCUAGGUUUAAUUAUUUAGAUUUCAGUGUUAAAAAUGUUCAUACUUGAACUUUAAAACAUACCCUGAAGAAUUUGCAUAAAAUGUCCAAGUUUAUACUAGUUGCAAGAUUUAGAAUUCUGAAGCACACUAAAAAGAGAGAGGUGGGUUUUGUUUCAUUUUUAAGAGAAUUGUUUUGUUUGGAAGGAAAAUGCCGAGAGCCAUUUAGCCCUAUCUGUCAUCUUAAUAUUUCAUAAGAUAAAAAAUUAUACCAAGGCAGAACCAUUUCACUUUCAUUAAAAAUCAGUGCCUCAACAAGAUUAUAGCUAGAAGAGUCUAAGGAAGCAAUAUUUACAUUAAUGUCAAGAAAGUCAACAUUUAUUAUUGUUACUUUGAAAAGAAGCUUUCUUUUGCCAAAUGGCUUCUUUUUCUCAUGUCUAUUUAUUUUCCAUACAAAUAGCAUAUAUUUAAAAAUCCCCAUUUGUAAUAUGAGAGUUGAAUGAACAUGCUUGGUUAGAGAUUAUUAUGGGCUUGUUGCUCAUUCUUCCUCUGGUGGUUCUCUCUCAUUCCAUUACCUAAAAUCUUCCUUUAAACCCUCAUAUUAAAUGUUUGAGCCAACAUGUCUGCCUUCAAUGUCACAUGAUGCCCUUGCAGUGCUGGAAAACAUGGUGGUUGUUUUGGUACAUUGGCUGGUAGGGGGGAUACAUCCUCACAAAUUAAUUUGUGUAGGAAAUGUAAUUAUUUUUAUUGUUUACUUCUAAUUACCGCCCCCCUUUCAUUUUUAUCAUUUUGCAAAGGUCUCUUUUACUCCUCUCCCAUCUUUGUUUUAUUUUCGUUUUAACUCAUGUAACCCUUCUUAUCUCUUGACAGGAAACAAUCUUCAAUCUAUUUUUCCCUCUCUCUUGCUGAGCAAGGACAGGUGAAGGAUAUUUUCCUACUGCAGCUGGGGUAGAAGAUAGAUCUGAGGAUUAAACAUUUAUUUCUGAUACCUGGAAAAAAAGUGGUGAUGAUUCUCAGAGGAUUCUCAUAGAGUUACAUCUCAUGGGCGAAGCUGUCAUCUGAAUCUAAAUUCUGUCAACCAAAUGUUUAGCACAGUCCUCUGCAUGCUUAUACAUGUAAUGUGCACACAGCCAAGAACAAAGCUUAUUUUGAUCUUCUCUCAUCUAUUUCAUUGUGCUGAUUCCUACACACAGAGACUAAACAUCACAGUAUUUGGUCUCUUGCACUGUGUUCUUCUUAAAUUGACAACUAGACGGAUUUCAUGGUUCUGACAGCAGUAGAAUUGAGUUUUACAUUUUUUUUCCAGAUUCAUUGGCAGCUGCUGGCCAACAGGAAAUGUGUGGGCUGAUGAAAUACCAGCAGUGCUGAAGGCAGGGCAUGCACUUCCUCCCUCUGACAACUUGUAUGCUGUCUUAUUACUUAUACCUUCAGUUUCAAAUUCUGCUGGAUAGGAGUACAUUGUUUAGCUGUACAGUAGCUACAACAGAUUAAGUAUUGUUCUGAAUACCCACACUGGGUCCCUUUCAAGCCUGUGGUUUUGUAUCUGUAAAAUGGGAUUCUUACUGCUUUAGUGGAAGACGCUGCUUAAGUGGUCAAAUCAGGGGCCUUAAGCCAAGUCAUAAAAUCAUAGUUAGAGGUGACCAUGAGGAUCAUCUAGUCCAACCCUCUGCAAUGCAGGAAUCUUUCACCCAAUGUCGGCCUGUUAAGCAUUUAUUGGUGUGACAAUAAAGGUAAAGGACCCCUGGACGGUUAAGUCCAGUCAAAGGUGACUGGGGCGAAGCGCUCAUUUCGCUUUCAGGCUAAGGAAGCCAGUGUUUGUUCACAGACAGCUUUUCUGGGUCAUGUGGCCAGUACGACUAAACUGCUUCUGGCACAACGGGACACAGUGACGGAAACCAGAGCACACAGAAGCUGUUUACCUUCCCGCCACAGUGGUACCUAUUUACUUCCACUGGUGUACUUUUGAACUGCUAGGUUGGCAGGAGCUGGGACAGAGCAACAGGAGCUCACCCCUGAUCAGCAAGCCCAAGAGGCUCAAUGGUUUAGACACAUCGCCACUCAUGUCCCUAAUUAGUGUGACUAAUUAGCUGGUGAAGGACAGGUGUGUUGCCUAGAAACAACUAGCUAGUGAUGCUUUCAGCCCCCUCACCUGGCUGGAGGCAAUGUCAUUGUAAGUGCAAGAGAAUAAUAGUGUGGGGGCCAGUCUUAGCGUGGAAGACACAGAGGCUUGCUCUCUGUGCUGAGUCUAAAGUGGGAAGGGGGGUACAAGUCUGUUAAUGCUGUCCAUCUUUCCAGUGACUUUCUUUCAAAGGAAACCAAACCAGAGCUAUGUGCUAAAAUCUCUCACCACUUGGGAUGCAUGUAGUCAUAUGAAGUUUCAGCUAACUGGAGAACUUUGGAGAUAUGUUUUAAUAUGUUAUAGUUACCUACAUGGCACCGUAGAGUUUACUCUUUACAGACUAACAAGUAAAAAGGUAGGCCUUUGUCCCCCAUCCCCCCCCCAAGUACCUUACAGAGUACAAAAACCACUUCUGGGUUGUGUGGGUGCAGUUGGAUCUUCCUGCCCAAAGUGGUUGCAUUGUGUUUAUGUAUUCAAAUGCUAAGAUAAUCAAUAUUGUACAGUAAAAGCCUGAAUAUUUUAUCAUGUGCUUAGUGAGAAGGGUGGUGCUUGUGAGAUGUGUAAGGAACAAUAAAUCUGCAGCUGCAAUGUAGUUUUGCUUGAGGAUUGGGAAUAAUAAACACUUCCAAAUUAAUCUCUCUAAAGAAAGAGAAUAAAGAG